rnacentral:rRNA from 1 species
CCUACGGGUGACAGCAGUGGGGGAUAUUGCACAAUGGGGGGAACCCUGAUGCAGCGACGCCGCGUGGGUGAAGAAGCGCCUCGGCGCGUAAAGCCCUGUCAGCAGAGAAGAUAAUGACGGUAUCUAACGAAUAAGCACCGGCUAACUCCGUGCCAGCAGCCGCGGUAAUACGGAGGGUGCACGCGUUACUCGGAAUCACUGGGCGUAAAGAGCGCGUAGGCGGGAUAGCAAGUCAGAUGUGAAAUCCUAUGGCUUAACCAUAGAACUGCAUUUGAAACUGUUAUUCUAGAGUAUGGGAGAGGUAGGUGGAAUUCGUGGUGUAGGGGUAAAAUCCGUAGAGAUCAAGAGGAAUACUCAUUGCGAAGGCGACCUGCUAGAACAUAACUGACGCUGAUGCGCGAAAGCGUGGGGAGCAAACAGGAUUAGAUACCCCGGUAGUC